rnacentral:rRNA from 1 species
GACGUAGGGCGCGAGCGUUUGUCCGGAUUUAUUGGGCGUAAAGAGCUCGUAGGCGGCUUGUUGCGUCGACUGUGAAAACCCGCGGCUUAACUGCGGGCUUGCAAUUGAUACGGGCAGGCUAGAGUUCGGUAGGGGAGACUGGAAUUCCUGGUGUAGCGGUGAAAUGCGCAGAUAUCAGGAGGAACACCGGUGGCGAAGGCGGGUCUCUGGGCAGUAACUGACGCUGAGGAGCGAAAGCGUGGGGAGCGAACAGG